CGUCCUCGCUUUCGUGUACCGUAGGGUGGUACACCAACAAGGGCUGGGCAAGACCGGUGCCAGCCGCCGCGGUAAUACCGGCAGCCCGAGUGAUGGCCGAUCUUAUUGGGCCUAAAGCGUCCGUAGCUGGCUGCGCAAGUCCGUCGGGAAAUCCACUCGCCCAACGAGUGGGCGUCCGACGGAAACUGCACAGCUUGGGACCGGAAGGCUCGAAGGGUACGUUCGGGGUAGGAGUGAAAUCCCAUAAUCCCGCACGGACCACCGAUGGCGAAAGCACUUCGAGAAAACGGAUCCGACAGUGAGGGACGAAAGCCAGGGUCUCCAACCGGAUUAGAUACCCGGGUAGUCCUGGCCGUAAACAAUGUUCGCUAGGUAUGACACAGACUACGCGUCUCUGUUGUGCCGUAGGGAAGCCGAGAAGCGAACC
rnacentral:rRNA from 1 species